CUGGUUUAUUUAUUUUUAUCUUUCUUUAAAGUAAGAGUGCAGAAGGCUUCCCCUCCUCUCACGCCACCUCUCCAAAGAGGGCCAAUGUGGGUGACUUUCUGAGUAGUCCCCAAAGCAGAUCCCGAGGCCUGCGCGUCGCGAAUCUUCUCUGCCAGGGCGCUGGUGGAGCAGUUUCUCAGCUGGUGCCUCUGGCCCAGCGAAUCCUGCCGGAUGGCGGUGGUUCUGGAAUGCCCUGUGGAUUCGCCCUAAGGCCUUGUAGGCCCGGGGACUCUGGGGGUGCUGUAUAAAGCAGGAAAAUACGUAAAUGGAGCCCAGGGGGAAGGUAGCGUGGCCGAGCGGUCUAAGGCGCUGGAUUAAGGCUCCAGUCUCUUCGGAGGCGUGGGUUCGAAUCCCACCGCUGCCAGCUUGGUGUGGUUUGUCCAUUUUUGUCCCCCCAUAGGUUACAAAAGGAGGAUUCGUUGGAACUUUCCUCGGGCCCCACGCUUGCUCGGGAUCUGGAUUCCAUUUGGCAGCGCGCAGCCGUCCAGUGGAUGGGCUUUGUAGGGAGUUCCUCGGCGCUGGUGUUCACAGCAAGUGAGAAAAGGCAGAUGAAAACAGAGGAAAAGCAGAUCACUUCUUGUGUACCGCUGAGGCUGAGAGCCAGGAUUGGCUGCAGAUGGGCAUGUUGGAAAUCUUUGUGGUAACGGAACUGUUUUAAAAGUGGAUUGUGGUGAUGGUUGCAGAAUCCUAUGCAGUGACUAAAAAUCAUUGAACUGUA